rnacentral:rRNA from 1 species
GGGUCAGUAGGUUGGUCGUGCCACCGGUACGUACUGGUCUAACUGAUUCCUCCUUCCUGAAGAACCAUAAUGCCAUUAAUUUGGUGUUGCGGGGAAACAGGACUGUUACUUUGAAAAAAUUAGAGUGUUUAAAGCAAGCUAACGCUUGAAUACAUUAGCAUGGAAUAAUGAAAUAGGACGAUCGAUCCUAUUUUGUUGGUUUCUAGGAUUGACGUA